UCAUCCAUCCACCCAUCCAUUAUCCAUUCACCCGUCCAUUAUCUACCCAUCAUCUGUCACCCAUCCAUUCAUCUGUCUAAACAGGCAUUUCCUCCCCCCUCACUUGCCCUUGUCAAACCAUCAAUCUUCCUGGGGCCAUGCUGGGUGUCUUGGGAAGACUGUGCUCACCUCAGGCUUUGUGUUGUGUGGUUUGUGUGAGUGGUUUGUAAGUGUGUUGUGUGUGUGUGGUGUGUUGUGUAUGCAUGUUCAUGGGCAGAGGCCUCCAGGAGCACCCACACACGGGCAGGGAUAUUUGCCCUCCCUUCACACUGUCCUGCCACUCCCCCUCCCCUCUGGGAUUGUUCAUU
rnacentral:lncRNA from 1 species